rnacentral:lncRNA from 1 species
AAAUAGAUGAUUAGUCAUCUGCUUCUGGAAGAAAUCGGAAGAUUUCUUUGUUUUUGCGUAAGAGACCGAGACGGCGGUCCAGCGGAGGGCUAUUUGGGUAUUAUUGAAAUAUUAUAAUACUUUUCUGCCAAAGGCCAAUGUGUUGCCUUGUAUUGGUACCUAUUUUGAGGCAUGUUUCCACGAAACAUGCCCGGUAUUAUCAC